CGCACGGUGGAUGCCUUGGCACUAGAAGCCGAUGAAGGACGUUACUAACGACGAUAUGCUUUGGGUAGCUGUAAGUAAGCGUUGAUCCAGAGAUUUCCGAAUGGGGGAACCCAGCAUGAGUUAUGUCAUGUUAUCGACAUGUGAAUUCAUAGCAUGUCAGAAGGCAGACCCGGAGAACUGAAACAUCUUAGUACCCGGAGGAAGAGAAAGAAAAAUCGAUUCCCUGAGUAGCGGCGAGCGAAACGGGAAGAGCCCAAACCAACAAGCUUGCUUGUUGGGGUUGUAGGACACUCUAUACGGAGUUACAAAAGAACAUGUUAGACGAAUCAUCUGGAAAGAUGAAUCAAAGAAGGUAAUAAUCCUGUAGUCGAAAACAUAUUCUCUCUUGAGUGGAUCCUGAGUACGACGGAGCACGUGAAAUUCCGUCGGAAUCUGGGAGGACCAUCUCCUAAGGCUAAAUACUCUCUAGUGACCGAUAGUGAACCAGUACCGUGAGGGAAAGGUGAAAAGUACCCCGGAAGGGGAGUGAAAUAGAACCUGAAACCGUGUGCCUACAACAAGUUCGAGCCCGUUAAUGGGUGAGAGCGUGCCUUUUGUAGAAUGAACCGGCGAGUUACGUUAUGAUGCGAGGUUAAGUUGAAGAGACGGAGCCGUAGGGAAACCGAGUCUGAAUAGGGCGUCUUAGUAUCAUGAUGUAGACCCGAAACCAUGUGACCUACCCAUGAGCAGGUUGAAGGUGCGGUAAAACGCACUGGAGGACCGAACCAGGGCACGUUAAAAAGUGCUUGGAUGACUUGUGGGUAGCGGAGAAAUUCCAAACGAACUUGGAGAUAGCUGGUUCUCUCCGAAAUAGCUUUAGGGCUAGCGUCGACAUAAAGAUUCUUGGAGGUAGAGCACUGUUUGGGUGAGGGGUCCAUCCCGGAUUACCAAUCUCAGAUAAACUCCGAAUGCCAAUGAAUUAUGGUCGGCAGUCAGACUGCGAGUGCUAAGAUCCGUAGUCGAAAGGGAAACAGCCCAGACCACCAGCUAAGGUCCCAAAAUAAUUGUUAAGUGGAAAAGGAUGUGGGGUUGCACAGACAACUAGGAUGUUAGCUUAGAAGCAGCUAUUCAUUCAAAGAGUGCGUAAUAGCUCACUAGUCGAGUGACCCUGCGCCGAAAAUGUACCGGGGCUAAAACAAUUUACCGAAGCUGUGGAUACCUUUAUAGGUAUGGUAGGAGAGCGUUCUAUGUGUGGAGAAGGUGUACCGUGAGGAGCGCUGGAACGCAUAGAAGUGAGAAUGCCGGUAUGAGUAGCGAAAGAUGGGUGAGAAUCCCAUCCACCGUAAGACUAAGGUUUCCAGGGGAAGGCUCGUCCGCCCUGGGUUAGUCGGGACCUAAGGAGAGACCGAAAGGUGUAUCCGAUGGACAACAGGUUGAUAUUCCUGUACUAGAGUAUGAAGUGAUGGAGGGACGCAGUAGGCUAACUCGUGCGUACGAAUGGAUGUACGUCUAAGCAGUGAGGCGUGGUAUGAGUCAAAUGCUUAUACCUGUAACGUUGAGCUGUGAUGGGGAGCGAAGUUUAGUAGCGAGUGAGUGAUGUCACACUGCCAAGAAAAGCUUCUAGCGUUGUAUCAUACUCUACCCGUACCGCAAACCGACACAGGUAGUCGAGGCGAGUAGCCUCAGGUGAGCGAGAGAACUCUCGUUAAGGAACUCGGCAAAAUGACCCCGUAACUUCGGGAGAAGGGGUGCUUUCUUGGGUGAAGAGCCCGAGAGAGCCGCAGUGAAAAGGCCCAAGCGACUGUUUAACAAAAACACA
rnacentral:rRNA from 1 species